rnacentral:rRNA from 1 species
CAAUAGCGUAUAUUAAAGUUGUUGCAGUUAAAAAGCUCGUAGUUGGAUCUGUGGUGUGCGGUGGGCUCCGGGCACUUGUUGUCUGAGUAGCUCGCCGCUGCCAUCCUUGGGUGGAACCUGUGUGGCAUUAGGUUGUCGUGCAGGGGAUGCCCAUCGUUUACUGUGAAAAAAUUAGAGUGUUCAAAGCAGGCUUAUGCCGUUGAAUAUAUUAGCAUGGAAUAAUGAGAUAGGACUUUUUCGCUAUUUUGUUGGUUUGCGCGAAGAGGUAAUGAUUAAUAGGGACAGUUGGGGGUAUUCGUAUUCCAUUGUCGGAGGUGAAAUUCUUGGAUUUUUGGAAGACGAACUACUGCGAAAGCAUUUACCAAGGAUGUUUUCAUUAA